rnacentral:lncRNA from 1 species
AUGUAUAAGUUUUACAUUACAUUUUCCCUUCAAUUCAAGGAACAACCGGGCCAGAUGAAAGGUUUAAACGGUACAAAGAGACUCGAGGCAGCCGUAAAGCUACUACCGAAUGAGUUCGACAAGGCAUUUGUCUCUAGAUCGCUGCAAACCAUUCAGAGAAGUUUACACAUCACGAGAAGCCUCUCAAAUCGACAAAUUUAUUUACGGAGUAGUUUAGUAGCAAUGGAGAUCAGUCAAUUCUGCAAGCUGACGAUUGACGAAUUAGGAGAGGUUUCAAAGAGUGCUAAGCUGGUCAAAAUCGAUUGCGAGAACUACAGGGAAAUGCUUUCACAUUCACGACCUACAAAAGUGAUUGCAGAGGAGGCUCUUUUUUCUUGGUGAUGCAAAUGAUCACACUUGAAAAACUCCCAGCGCUAAAGAAUGAACUAUUUACAAGUUUCAAAUUAUUUGUCAUUAAAACACCAUUAAGGCUUAUAGAUAUGUGAGAAGUAAGAUGAUUCUAAUCGCGAAAUUCUUAAGAUCGCAAUUUUUUUAAUUUAUGUGGCUACCAUAAUUAUGGAGGAUGAUACCAUCUUUAACAGACUGUGCUCAUAAUGUUUCAUCCAUUACUCAUUAGUAUCGCACGUGGAACAAACAACUCAUUAGUGAUUCAUGAAUCAAUGUUGGAACAAUGCCGUCAUCCACCUUGUCCUCCAGAAAACGAUGUACCUGUUCCUCAUUGAUAGACAUACAGGCAGUGCCAAAACGUGAUUAAUCGACUGUCAAUGUACACAAGUUUGAAGCUGUGGUAAAGAAUCGACCAUUUAGGUACACCCUGAAAGUUGAUACUUUUCCAUAGGUUUAAAUAACCGGUCAGUCAAUUCAUCACAUGGCACAGACACCUCCGCACCCGAAUCUAGAUGAAUAUCAUGGUUUCAGAUCAAUCUACGUAUAAGAUUUUAUCAUCAAAAGACUGUUUAUAACAUAGUCGCCAGAUAGUGCUGUCAGUGUGCAAAUUAGCCCUCGCCCCAUUUAAACAAAUGUAAGAUAUCUACAUUUAAUUGCACAAUCUGGUAACUUUGAUCCAUGAUACACUCAGGCGCAACUUAUCUAUAGUACAUCAUGAAUCAUGGAUCUCGAAUACAUGUUGUCAAAAUCCUCUUAGGAAUUGUCCAUUAGCUAAUUAUAGAGGACUAAUUUAGUUGAUUAUUAUGAUCAGUCUAAUUUAUCCUAUGAAUUUUUGACCACAGUGCCAUUCAAAACAACUUUGGUAAAAUCAAUAUCGAAUAUAAUAUCGUAACAAAAUAUGAAAAAAAAGAAAAAUUAUUGAUGGAGACUUAUUAGCCUUAAAUUAAAUUUUUAUACAUAUAUUAUUUUUAAGGGACUUUUUUCGUUACAAACUUUAGCUGCAGCAAGAUAAGAGUUGUUUUGAAACGGAAAUACCUAGUUCAGAAAUUAUGCUGAGCGCAUUGCCAUAGUCUGAGAUGAAUUUCACAUUUUAUGUGAUAUUUUUGCUUAUUUAUAUGCUUUCCGCUUAAAAAUAUAAGAUGACGAAAUUUAAAAUGACUGCCGUCAAGCGAUGCAGUUUUUUUUUGGGGGGGGGGGGGCAGUCAAUUUAGGUUUUGUACAUGGUGUCAAAUCCUUGGACUGACCCAUCUGCAUCAAAUUAAUAAUAUUAUUUCCGUAUCCGAUAGGGGACUUUGGCGGCCAGGUGUCGCAGGGCACCAGAAAGCGCUGUAAUAUUUGCUUCUAUGCAUGUAUUUCCGUAUCAUACUAUACUAUCUUAAGAUUCAAAUCCUCUGAACCUAUUCCUGAGAGAGGGUUUCAAGUCUGAAUUUGUUUAUAUUUAAAUGGCUUUUGUAAAAUUUCAGCGUUUUCCAAAGAAAAAUAAAUAAAUAAAACGUUUUUUCU